AGUGAACGCUGGCGGUAGGCCUGACACAUGCAAGUCGAACGGCAGCACAGUAAGAGUUUGCUCUUACGGGUGGCGAGUGGCGGACGGGUGAGGAAUACAUCGGAAUCUACUUUUUCGUGGGGGAUAACGUAGGGAAACUUACGCUAAUACCGCAUACGACCUACGGGUGAAAGCAGGGGAUCUUCGGACCUUGCGCGAUUGAAUGAGCCGAUGUCGGAUUAGCUAGUUGGCGGGGUAAAGGCCCACCAAGGCGACGAUCCGUAGCUGGUCUGAGAGGAUGAUCAGCCACACUGGAACUGAGACACGGUCCAGACUCCUACGGGAGGCAGCAGUGGGGAAUAUUGGACAAUGGGCGCAAGCCUGAUCCGGCCAUACCGCGUGGGUGAAGAAGGCCUUCGGGUUGUAAAGCCCUUUUGUUGGGAAAGAAAAGCAGCAGGUUAAUACCCCGCUGUUCUGACGGUACCCAAAGAAUAAGCACCGGCUAACUUCGUG
rnacentral:rRNA from 1 species